CCAGGCUUAAAUAGUGCCACCAUUAACCUGACGAAAAAGGAAAGAAGGCAUUGGUUUUGCUGUAAAGUACACACAACUUUUACAAAUAUUAUUUUGGUGAUUACUUUGGUCAAGAUGAACAAAAUAAUUUUUGGAAUUGUGGCAGUGUUGCAUCUUUAAUGCUGGCUGAGUCCCUGACAUGUAACAGAUGCAGUUUGAGCCUGUUGGGUCUUUGCGUGAAUCCCAGUACUACUGUCUGCACUACCUAAACUAGUGCUUGCUUCACUGGAAUAGACAGUAAGUACUGUGCUCCUCUAUUCACCUGAAUGAUCUAGACACAUUAACAUCAUGUUCAUAUAAUUUAACCCUCUUAAAAUCUCUUUCUCUGUUUAACCUUCCCACCCAUCCCAGUAUCCUCAGGUAUGAUUUCCCAGGGUUGUAUGGAGAGCGAUCUGUGCACAAACCCCACCAACAUCCUUGAUAUCUGCUGCCACACCGACUUUUGUAAUUCAGUCACAUUCAGUGGUGCAAACUCUGCCAAGCUCACCGACACCACAGUUCUCGGUGCCGCCCUUGUGGCCUCCAUGUGUGGCUGCUUAUUAUCGUAGACCUAAAGAAACUAGAAGAACUAGAAGCAACUUCCUGUUACUGUAAAAUUAGAAGACUGUCUUAGUUUUGAUCUCGUUGCGCCUUGACUGUUUUUUUCAUGUGCCUCUGCUAUGUUGUCACCUCUUGCUCUCACGUUGUUUGUGUCCCAUUUGAUUCCACAGUCAAGGGCUUUCUAACAAUUUUGCAAAGACGCAUACGUUUCAGAAUCCAAUAUUCAGUGUUUUUUAUUUCUGUUUAAAAUGUUUGAAUAUGCUCAUUGUUGGGAAAUAGAUCAGUGUAUAUUGGAAGCUGUAACUCAAAAUUCUUAGACCAUCUGCAUUUGUAAUUUAGAAAAAUACUUAAUGUCUUACAAAAG
ensembl:lncRNA